rnacentral:lncRNA from 1 species
GUCAGGGCUGAUGGGGGAAGCAAACUCAUCAGGAUGCUGAUGGUGGUGUCAAAUGCAGAAGAUGAGAGAGUAGGGUGAGGAUGAGGGGCAUAGCAGAUCUGCCAGAAGAGGAGUAUUAUUGGAGGUAAGGACGCCUAUGUUACUAUUCGCACUGGGGGUUAUGUGACCCCCAGAAACAUUCCAAGAUGAGUCAGCUUUGAGCAUUCACCAAAGCCAUGAGGGCACAAAGACAGGUCAUGAUAUUAUGUCAAGUAAGACUUUGUUUUACUUCUCUGCAUGCAUCUCCAUCCCCAGUUCUGGAGGAGACAAAAGGCAGCCUACUGUGAUAGGGGAGAUUGUGAAUAUAAACUGGCCACAAGCUCCUUCCCACUGAAGCCUUCCAGGAUGAAUGGGGUCCAAGCUAGGGAAAAGAGAAGCUUUAUUAGUAUUCAUGGUUUGGGGUCACAUAUAAGAAUGGUUAUUUGAAUUACUGUUAUAUGGUUAUUUUUCUAGUACAAGUAACCAUAGGGAUUCUUAUUAUUUUGAUGUGGCCAGUAGAGCCAUUAAUACCUGCCUUUGGGUUUACUCAAGGGGUAGGGAACAACAACUACCACUGAGUGGGUUGGAAUGCAUGGGGAUGGGAGGAAAAGCUGUUUUUUCUGAUUAUGACUUAUGGAGUUUUUCUCUUUCAAUUAGGUGGUAUAAUAACAAUAUUCUGGAGCAAAGUGUUUCUUGACCUAAAUCUACAGAAUGUGUAUAAUUUUGCUGGCUAUCUUCCCUCUGCUCUCAGAUGUAUGCUGCCUUUUCUCACCCUACUUUCAGUCCUAGGAGGCUGAUCUUUUUGGAACAUAUAAAUGUUCCUGUGCCCUCUGGCUUUGGUGUGGAUCAAGCAAUAGAUAAUUUGGGGAAGACAGAAUAGAGGAAGAGGAGGAGAGAGGUCAGGAUAAUUUUCUCCUGGCCACUCCUUGCAAGACCUCUUCCCGGGAGUAUGCUCCUGAAGAAAAGUCACUACUUUUCUUUUCUUUUUGUGCUUUGCUUUUUUUUUUUUUUUUUUCAGAUGGUGUCCCGUUCUGUUGCCCAGGCUGGAGUGCAAUGGCGUGAUCUUGGCUCACUGCAACCUCUGCCUCCCGGGUUCAAGCGAUUCUCCUGCCUCAGCUUCCCAAGGAGCUGGGAUUACAGAGACGGGGUUUCACCAUAUUGGGCAGGCUGGUCUCGAACUCCUGACCUCAAGCGAUCCACCCGCCUUGACCUCUCGAAGUUCUGGGAUUACAACUGUGAACCACUGCACCCGGCCCAUAAGUUAUUUAAAUGAUGGAAAAAUUCUAUAAAGAGAAAAUUCCACCUCCUCUACUGUUAGUGGUGAAGCUCACAUAAGAAAGAGCCAGCUGAGAGUCUGUCAAGGGGAGACCCAAAACCAGAGAAACUCCUUUUCUUCUUUGUCUCAAUCACAUCAUUUUCUAGGGACACCAAUUCAUCAAGAAGCAAGAGUUUUGCUGUCAGUUCCUCCUGCAUUCAUUCUUCCUGCUGCCUUGUGAAGAAGGUGCCUUGCUUCCCCUUUGCCUUCCACCAUGAUUGUAAGUUUAACGAGGACUCCCCAGCCAUGCAGAACUGUUCACAACCUUGAAUGGCAUGUUGGCAAUAAAAAGAAGACAAUAAAAAA